rnacentral:rRNA from 1 species
AGAGUUUGAUCAUGGCUCAGAUUGAACGCUGGCGGCAUGCCUUACACAUGCAAGUCGAACGGCAGCAUGAUCUAGCUUGCUAGAUUGAUGGCGAGUGGCGAACGGGUGAGUAAUACAUCGGAACGUGCCCUGUAGUGGGGGAUAACUAGUCGAAAGAUUAGCUAAUACCGCAUACGACCUGAGGGUGAAAGUGGGGGACCACAAGGCCUCAUGCUAUAGGAGCGGCCGAUGUCUGAUUAGCUAGUUGGUGAGGUAAAGGCUCACCAAGGCGACGAUCAGUAGCUGGUCUGAGAGGACGAUCAGCCACACUGGGACUGAGACACGGCCCAGACUCCUACGGGAGGCAGCAGUGGGGAAUUUUGGACAAUGGGCGAAAGCCUGAUCCAGCAAUGCCGCGUGUGUGAAGAAGGCCUUCGGGUUGUAAAGCACUUUUGUCCGGAAAGAAAUGGCUCUGGUUAAUACCUGGGGUCGAUGACGGUACCGGAAGAAUAAGGACCGGCUAACUACGUGCCAGCAGCCGCGGUAAUACGUAGGGUCCAAGCGUUAAUCGGAAUUACUGGGCGUAAAGCGUGCGCAGGCGGUUGUGCAAGACCGAUGUGAAAUCCCCGAGCUUAACUUGGGAAUUGCAUUGGUGACUGCACGGCUAGAGUGUGUCAGAGGGGGGUAGAAUUCCACGUGUAGCAGUGAAAUGCGUAGAGAUGUGGAGGAAUACCGAUGGCGAAGGCAGCCCCCUGGGAUAACACUGACGCUCAUGCACGAAAGCGUGGGGAGCAAACAGAAUUAGAUACCCUGGUAGUCCACGCC